UACGGAGGGUGCAAGCGUUGUCCGGAAUCACUGGGCGUAAAGGGCGCGUAGGCGGCGCGGGAAGUCCGUGGUGAAAGCCCGAGGCUCAACUUCGGGUCGGCCAUGGAUACUCCUGGGCUCGAGCACUGUAGAGGCAGGUGGAAUUCCGGGUGUAGCGGUGGAAUGCGUAGAGAUCCGGAAGAACACCGGUGGCGAAGGCGGCCUGCUGGGCAGUAGCUGACGCUGAGGCGCGACAGCGUGGGGAGCAAACAGG
rnacentral:rRNA from 1 species